AAUUAUGGUUUGUUGGAAAUUCCAACAAUUAAAAGGGAAGUAGGUGAGAAUCCUAUACAGUCCCGCUGCUGUGUUUCUCAAGAAAAAUUUUGAGACAUCAAAGCCACUGUUACGAAUAAAUAGAAUAACGGGAAGGCGUUUCAAAAGAGAUAAGUCAGAAGACCUGCCAUAAAGAAA
rnacentral:ncRNA from 1 species